rnacentral:rRNA from 1 species
UACGGGGGGUGCAAGCGUUAUUCGGAAUUACUGGGCGUAAAGGGCGCGUAGGCGGUCCUGUAAGUCAGAUGUGAAAGCCCGGGGCUCAACCCCGGAAGUGCAUUUGAUACUAUAGGACUUGAGUAUGGGAGAGGGAAGUGGAAUUCCUGGUGUAGCGGUGAAAUGCGUAGAUAUCAGGAGGAACACCGGUGGCGAAGGCGACUUCCUGGACCAAUACUGACGCUGAUGCGCGAAGGCGUGGGGAGCAAACAGG